rnacentral:pre_miRNA from 1 species
UGUUGGAUGGUUGUGUGUCCAUGUUGGCUGGCUGGUUGUGUGUCCACCAACAUAGACACACAACCAGCCAACAUGGACACACAACCAGCCAACAU